rnacentral:rRNA from 1 species
AGAGUUUGAUCCUGGCUCAGGAUGAACGCUAGCGGCAGGCCUAAUACAUGCAAGUCGAACGGGAUCCACCAGCUUGCUGGUGGUGAGAGUGGCGCACGGGUGCGUAACGCGUGAGCAACCUACCCAUAUCAGGGGGAUAGCCCCUCGAAAGAGGGAUUAACACCGCAUAAGAUUAUAAGAUGGCAUCAUCAAGUAAUUAAAUAUUCAUAGGAUAUGGAUGGGCUCGCGUGACAUUAGCUAGUUGGUGGGGUAACGGCUCACCAAGGCGACGAUGUCUAGGGGCUCUGAGAGGAGAAUCCCCCACACUGGUACUGAGACACGGACCAGACUCCUACGGGAGGCAGCAGUAAGGAAUAUUGGUCAAUGGGCGAGAGCCUGAACCAGCCAUGCCGCGUGCAGGAGGACGGCCCUACGGGUUGUAAAGCCCUUUCAGCGGGGAAGAUAAUGACGGUACCCGCAGAAGAAGCCCCGGCUAACUUCGUGCCAGCAGCCGCGGUAAUAC